GGCUCAGAACGAACGCUGGCGGCGCGCUUAAUACAUGCAAGUCGAGCGAGAAGACGUAGCAAUACGUUUGUAAAGCGGCGAACGGGUGAGGAAUACAUGGGUAACCUACCCUCGAGUGGGGAAUAACUAGCCGAAAGGUUAGCUAAUACCGCAUACGACUCCUGGUCUGCGGAUCGGGAGAGAAAGCGAUACCGUGGGUAUCGCGCUCUUGGAUGGGCUCAUGUCCUAUCAGCUAGUUGGUGAGGUAACGGCUCACCAAGGCUUCGACGGGUAGCUGGUCUGAGAGGACGAUCAGCCACACUGGCACUGCGACACGGGCCAGACUCCUACGGGAGGCAGCAGUAAGGAAUAUUGCGCAAUGGACGAAAGUCUGACGCAGCGACGCCGCGUGGGGGAUGAAGGUCUUCGGAUUGUAAACCCCUUUCGGGAGGGAAGAUGGAGUGGGUAACCACCUGGACGGUACCUCCAGAAGCAGCCACGGCUAACUUCGUGCCAGCAGCCGCGGUAAUACGAAGGUGGCAAGCGUUGUUCGGAUUCACUGGGCGUACAGGGAGCGUAGGCGGUUCGGUAAGCCCUCUGUGAAAUCUCCAGGCUUAACCUGGAACAGUCGGAGGGGACUGCUGGGCUAGAGGACGGGAGAGGAGCGCGGAAUUCCCGGUGUAGCGGUGAAGUGCGUAGAGA
rnacentral:rRNA from 1 species